CCUACGGGAGGCUGCAGUGGGGAAUAUUGCACAAUGGGGGAAACCCUGAUGCAGCAACGCCGCGUGAGUGAAGAAGUAUUUCGGUAUGUAAAGCUCUAUCAGCAGGGAAGAAGAUGACGGUACCUGAGUAAGAAGCCCCGGCUAACUACGUGCCAGCAGCCGCGGUAAUACGUAGGGGGCAAGCGUUAUCCGGAUUUACUGGGUGUAAAGGGAGCGUAGACGGUGAGACAAGUCUGAAGUGAAAGCCCGGGGCUCAACCCCGGGACUGCUUUGGAAACUGCCUGACUGGAGUGCUGGAGAGGCAAGCGGAAUUCCUAGUGUAGCGGUGAAAUGCGUAGAUAUUAGGAAGAACUCCGAUUGCGAAGGCAGCAUACCGGCGCUCAACUGACGCUCAUGCACGAAAGCGUGGGUAUCGAACAGGAUUAGAUACCCCAGUAGUC
rnacentral:rRNA from 1 species